GUGCUUGCUUCUGUAGCACAUACACUAAAAUUGGAAGGAUACAGGGAAGAUUGGCUUGGCCCCUGCACAAGGAUGGCAUAGACUGAACCUCAGAAUUAAAGAUGCAGU
ensembl:snRNA U6 U6 spliceosomal RNA